GUGCUCACUUUUCAGCACAUAAACUAAAAUUAGAAUGAUACAAAGAAGAUUAGCAUAGCCCCUGUGCAAGGACGACACACAAAUCCUGAAGUGGUUCAUAGUUUGU